CAGUAGUACAUAUUCAUACGUACAUAACUUUUUUUUUACAGGAAUUUCCAACCAAGUUUGAUUAUGUACAUAUGUACAUGUUAUAAACCACUGUACGUAUGGUUACUGUAUGUAACUUACUAAACAUACAUAACAUGACUUAACUUUGAUACUUUUUUGGUACAUUCCAGAAAACCAGGACCCCCUCCAUGAUGCAGGCUAUGGGGCCACAUAAAACUUUGUCCAGGGUUACUACAUAACAUAAAGAACCCCCUGAAUGAUGUAGGCUAUGGGGCCACAUAAGACUUUGUGCAUCCAGGGUUACAUAGCACGACAACUUUAAACUAAAGGUAAGGAAUUAAUUAACAUACAUUAACUAAGUUUUAUACAUGUUAUAUAUGUGAUAUUAAACCACUGUAUGGUGCAUAUUACUGUAUGUAACUUACUAUGCAUAGAGUACUUACUGACAUACUAAUUAUUUUUUGUACAUUCCAGAACCCCCUGAAUGAUGUAGGCUAUGGGGCCACAUAAGACUUUGUGCAUCCAGGGUUACAUAGCACGACAACUUUAAACUAAAGAGCUACCAGACUGGGAUUUUAGUGUACUCCAGGAUCUAACAAAUACAUACGUACUACUACGAAGUGUGCAAUGCAUAAUAUAGUGUAUAGUGUUUAGUGUAUACCCUAAGGAUUAAGUGUAGUACAUUGUGCUUUUUAGUGUCACAAGAGUUUAAUAAAGAAUUAUACCUUCAAGAACCAUCCUUUGCCAUUGGAAUAACCACACUACACAUCAUGCAAUCUACUUGCAUGUCACACAGGUAAGGUCUCUAACUUUUUCUUAGUUUAAGGCAUAUUUCCAAGUGUCGUUCCGGCUUACGACGAUUUUCGGCUUACGACGCGCCUCAAGAACGGAACCCCCGUCGUAA